NGAUGUGAGGGCGAUCUGGCUGCGACAUCUGUCACCCCAUUGAUCGCCAGGGUUGAUUCGGCUGAUCUGGCUGGCUAGGCGGGUGUCCCCUUCCUCCCUCACCGCUCCAUGUGCGUCCCUCCCGAAGCUGCGCGCUCGGUCGAAGAGGACGACCUUCCCCGAUAGAGACGGUACCGUUCAUCGGUCAAGGGUAUACGGUAGCUGCGCUCCCCUGCUAGAACCUCCAAACAAGCUCAAGGUCCAUUUGUAGGAGAACGUAGGGUAGUCAAGCUUCCAAGACUGCAGACACAUCCAAGUGAGGCACUGCAUGGGGUUUUUUAAAAUUUUUU
rnacentral:snRNA from 1 species